UGGGGGAUGGUGUAACGGUAGCACAGCAGAUUUUGGUUCUGCUUGUUCUGGUUCGAAUCCAGAUCCCCCAG
rnacentral:tRNA from 3 species